AGAUUGACUAAUCAAUUUUCAUGCCAAUCAUGUAAAAACAAUAUAUGAUCUUAUCAAGUGGUAUCACCUUGGCUAGCCCUUGCUUGAUUCUCUCGCUUCAUGGGAAUUGUGUGUCAUCAAGGAAUUUUUUGACCCGAAGCUGAGCCUACACUCCACCGCCUUUGCACUCUGAAUUAUCUUUCGGUACCAACUGUAUAAUUCCGCCCAAGGACUCCACUA
rnacentral:lncRNA from 1 species